rnacentral:lncRNA from 1 species
ACCGGGAAGGGGAGCGUGGGGCCGCUGGAAUCCGCUGUGUGGCUUACAAUAACCAGUCAAACAGAUUGGCUGUUUCACGAACAGAUGGCACUGUGGAAAUUUAUAACUUGUCAGCAAACUACUUUCAGGAGAAAUUUUUCCCAGGUCAUGAGUCUCGGGCUACAGAAGCUUUGUGCUGGGCAGAAGGACAGCGACUCUUUAGUGCUGGGCUCAAUGGCGAGAUUAUGGAGUAUGAUUUACAGGCGUUAAACAUCAAGUAUGCUAUGGAUGCCUUUGGAGGACCUAUUUGGAGCAUGGCUGCCAGCCCCAGUGGCUCUCAACUUUUGGUUGGUUGUGAAGAUGGAUCUGUGAAACUAUUUCAAAUUACCCCAGACAAAAUCCAGUUUGAAAGAAAUUUUGAUCGGCAGAAAAGUAAGCGUCAUUUUUCAUGGGGCGGUAAAUAGCCUUAACAAGAAAUUAAGUUUCUGUGCCACUGGGGAUGGGAUAUUUUCCCAUGAAUCCAGGUAAUAUUUUAUCUCUACUGGGUACAGGGAGGGUAUGUGCUAGAAGCCA